CUAUCAGCAGUUAUAAUGGUAAUGUUUCUUUGUGUUGCUUUAUUGUCCGACUACUAGGGGAAAUUAGUUUUUCACUUUAUUUUUUGAUUUCUCUGAAAUGUGUCUUAUAUCUAAAAGUUGUUGUAAAAUCUUGCUAUGAAUGGGAAUGGGAAGAUCUUACCAUGUUUAUUUAAUAUUUAACUUGUUGUGAAUAUACUGUUGUUGAUGUAUUGAUUGAUUUUCAUGGAUCAUUAGAUACAAAAACACCUUUUUUCCAAGAUGUUAAAAGACAAAGAAAACACAAAGAAGUAACAGUAAAAAAAAAACACCUCACCACAAUUUAAGAACAUUAAAAAAUAAAACAGGGAAAGCUCAAAUAAAAAUGUCACUGCAUUUCAUUAUAAAUCUGACUCAGUAUUACAAAAUAAAAGCUCAGGUUACCGCCCCUUUUGUUGAGUGUAGCAGUGCGCAUGCUCAGCGUAGUAGCCGGUUAUGGCGGCGGUGUGUGUUUGUCCAUGAGGUGGGGGACGCCUGCUAUUUUUGCGGUCUGUGACAGAGUGAUCCGAGCGAAGCGCUGCUAUGGCUGGAGUGUUUGACAUUGAUUUGGACCAGCCGGAGGAAAAUGUCUCCGACGAUGAGAAUGAGGAGGUGGAAAUCAGUGACAUCAUGGACCAGUGCAGUGGAUUUGAGUUCAACAUGGACGACUGUGAGAAGAUUGAGAUAUCGGAGGACAACGUCAAUCAGGGGACGGAGAACAUCAGACCGGAGUGCUUUGAGCUGCUGCGGGUCCUGGGGAAAGGCGGUUAUGGAAAGGUCUUUCAAGUUCGAAAAGUUAUUGGAGCUGAAUCGGGCAAAAUAUUUGCUAUGAAAGUUUUAAAAAAGGCUAUGAUUGUUCGCAACGCCAAGGACACAGCCCAUACAAAGGCAGAGAGGAACAUCCUGGAGGAGGUGAAGCACCCUUUCAUUGUUGAUCUCAUCUACGCCUUCCAGACAGGAGGGAAGCUGUAUCUCAUCCUGGAGUACUUGAGUGGAGGAGAACUUUUCAUGCAGCUGGAGAGGGAGGGCAUCUUCAUGGAAGACACAGCCUGUUUCUACCUGGCAGAGAUCUCCAUGGCUCUGGGUCACCUGCACCAGAAAGGCAUCAUCUACAGAGACCUAAAGCCUGAGAACAUCAUGCUCAACAACCAUGGCCAUGUAAAGCUGACCGACUUUGGACUGUGUAAAGAGUCAAUUCACGACGGCACAGUCACCCACACUUUCUGUGGAACAAUCGAAUACAUGGCCCCAGAGAUCUUGAUGAGAAGCGGACACAACAGAGCAGUGGACUGGUGGAGUCUGGGCGCUCUGAUGUACGACAUGCUCACAGGAGCGCCACCGUUCACAGGUGAAAACCGAAAAAAGACCAUUGACAAGAUCCUGAAGUGUAAGCUCAGCCUGCCGCCCUACCUCACACAAGAAGCCAGAGAUCUCCUGAAAAGGUUGCUGAAGAGAAACGCCUCGUCACGGCUGGGAGCGGGCGCAGGAGAUGCCACAGAAGUGCAGGCUCAUCUCUUCUUCAGACACAUCAACUGGGAGGAUCUGCUGGCUCGGAAAGUGGAGCCGCCCUUUAAACCUUUCCUGCAAUCGGCUGAAGACGUGAGUCAGUUCGACUCGAAGUUCACCAGUCAGACGCCAGUCGACAGCCCGGAUGACUCGACCCUCAGUGAGAGUGCCAAUCAAGCCUUCCUGGGUUUCACAUACGUCGCUCCGUCGGUCCUGGAAAACAUCAAAGAGAAGUUCUUGUUUGAGCCAAAGAUCCGCUCACCUCGACGGAUCGUGGACAGCCCGAGGACACCUCUGAGCCCAGUUAAGUUCUCUGGGACGGACUGCUGGGCCCGGAGCCCCCUUCUCACCGGCCGGCCGAGUGUCCUCCAGUCCCCUCAGGACCAAGCCAUGGAGCUGUCCACCCCGGAGCACAUGGACGUCACUACAAACUCCGAAGCCUCGGCCCCUCUUCCCAUCCGCCAGCCCACCGGGGUCAACCUGGGUCAGAUGAAGCAGCAAGCCUAUCCCGUCGUGGCUAAACGGCCCGACCAUUUACGUAUGAACCUAUGACCCACCGCACCUCUUUAGGAGAGUUUAUUUUGUGACUUUUUUUUUUUUCUUGAUAUUUUUUAAGAAACAAAGCAAAAAAGAAACGGAUGCUAGAGACAAUUCAAAUCCUAAAAUUGCACAUCCGCACACUCCGUAUACUGUCACAACCUGGAGUUUGUGCGUGGGUCUGGGACUCCAGCAGUUAAGUGCUACAGACAACAUCACCGCCUCACCACUUCUCCUCGACACCUCAUGUCUCUUGACCUUUGUCUUCUGACCCCCCCCCCCCCCUUCCUGAACUGGACCUGUAGGGCUGGAAUCCUUUUGAGGAGCCGCAGCCUUUUCGUGUGACCCAGAAUUCAAAGGCGAUAAUAAAUCAAACCGUAUGCAAGCAAUCCACUCAGUCUACUGUACGAUGACUUCCGAAGUGCUUUGUGCUGUUUGAACGCCGCGUUACUGUCGUGGGAAUACUUCCUCGCUCUUCAGGCGUGCUGCAGUGGGAUGUAUCGCUGGAGUAGUUGACGCAUCAGCAGAUAUAAUUCAGCUUGAUCACCGUGACCACCCAAAAGCGAUCUCGGUGCUGCGCCACCCAGGAGCCGUCAGACCCCCGACUGACCCCUGGAGGGAACUCACACGGGAGACGGUGGCACCAGUUGAUCUGAACAUCUGCAGAUGUUUAAACUCAGAGCAACAUUUCCCGCCUGUUCCGUCAGCGUUCACUUGUUUAGGAGGGACAUUUUAGAAAUCCCCCCAAAAAAAGCAAGGAAAGUUGUAAUAAAAUGUAAAACAAUA